GAGACGGCGAGGAGCAGGCGAAAACAGCUGGAAUCCGGUGCACCGCCGACUGCCAGCGCCCGCGCCCUUUAAAGAGCCGCCGAACCGCGCGCUCCGAGGGGGCGUGGCCUCGCCUCCCAUUGGACGCCGCUGACCCCGCUCGCCGUCCAGCGCGGGAGAUUUGAGUUGCGCCGCAGGCCUUCCGCACAAAGACCUUUAAGGAGCCUGCGCCGGCCGGGUGCGCGGGCGCUCGCGGGGCCGGAACCGGUUAGGAUUGCGAGAGCCUUGGGGAUUGAGCGCGCAAGGGGUCGCCGGGCGGGCGUUGCCGCUGAGGUUGGCUUUCUGAUUUGCCCUACGAGGUCCAAGAUACCAGAGAUAAAGCGCUGAGAUGGGACACUGAGAUCCUGGGGAGAAACGUGGAACCUGGGAAGGCUCCACUGACUCUCCCAGGUCAAAUAUUUUAAAAGAGGACGAGGGGAGGCUCCCCUCUGCUUGUGUCCUAAGUUCUCUCACUGUAGAUGCUGUAAAAAUCUCUGAACACCAUGUGGCAGCUCAAAGUUAAAGUAGGCGGCAUCCACCGCUGCACAAUUUAUAUGAUGCUGGGGACAAAACCCAGGACUUCUUCCAUGCUAAGCUAACUGGGCCAUAUCGAUAAAUAUUUUAAAUCACCUCUAGCAAAAUUGUCAGGUCUUUUUUUAACAUAUAAUUUCUAAUUCACAUUCCAUUCCUCCGUUAUCCGAGGGGUUUGCCUUUGGCUCCUCUAGCUCCUGGUGUACUCAGUACAAAUGAGGUCUGGCUAUUAAAAUAACACUCGACCACUGAGGGAAGGAGAAGGUCGCCGCCAUUCUCUUCUCCCUGCUCACAACCUCCUCCAAACGCCUCUUCCUCCCGCCAAGCAGGCUGAGCUUAGUGGGCAGCCCCGCCUAGGUUCCCCUGUACCGGGACCUGUCAGGAGCUGAGCGCUUUUG
rnacentral:lncRNA from 1 species